rnacentral:rRNA from 1 species
GUCGGCGGGGUAACGGCCCACCGAGCCUACGACGGGUAGCCGGCCUGAGAGGGCGACCGGCCACAUUGGGACUGAGAUACGGCCCAGACUCCUACGGGAGGCAGCAGUGGGGAAUAUUGCACAAUGGGCGCAAGCCUGAUGCAGCGACGCCGCGUGCGGGAUGACGGCCUUCGGGUUGUAAACCGCUUUUGAUCGGGAGCAAGCCUUCGGGUGAGUGUACCUUUCGAAUAAGCACCGGCUAACUACGUGCCAGCAGCCGCGGUAAUACGUAGGGUGCAAGCGUUAUCCGGAAUUAUUGGG